rnacentral:rRNA from 1 species
GUAGGUGGCAAGCGUUGACCGGAAUUAUUGGGCGUAAAGCGCGCGCAGGCGGUUCUUUAAGUCUGAUGUGAAAGCCCACGGCUCAACCGUGGAGGGUCAUUGGAAACUGGAGAACUUGAGUACAGAAGAGGAAAGCGGAAUUCCACGUGUAGCGGUGAAAUGCGUAGAGAUGUGGAGGAACACCAGUGGCGAAGGCGGCUUUCUGGUCUGUAACUGACGCUGAGGCGCGAAAGCGUGGGGAGCAAACAGGAUUAGAUACCAUGGUAGUCCACGCCGUAAACGAUGAGUGCUAAGUGUUAGGGGGUUUCCGCCCCUUAGUGCUGCAGCUAACGCAUUAAGCACUCCGCCUGGGAGUACGGCCGCAAGGCUG